AAAAGGACUGAUGAAAGACGGAAGU
rnacentral:sRNA from 1 species